rnacentral:rRNA from 1 species
AACGAACGCUGGCGGCAUGCCUAACACAUGCAAGUCGAACGAGACCUUCGGGUCUAGUGGCGCACGUGUGCGUAACGCGUGGGAACCUGCCCUUAGGUUCGGAAUAACUCCCCGAAAGGGGUCCUAAUACCGGAUAAUGUCUUCGGACCAAAGAUGUAUGGCCUUUGGAUGGGCCCGCGUUGGAUUAGCUAGUUGGUAGGGUAAAAGCCUACCAAGGCGACGAUCCAUGGCUGGUCUGAUAGGAUGAUCAGCCACACUGGGACUGAGAUACGGCCCAGACUCGUACGGGAGGGAGCAGUGGGGAAUAUUGGACGAUGGGCGAAAGCCUGAUACAGCAAUGCCGCGUGAGUGAGGAAGGGCUUAGGGUUGUAAAGCUCUUUUACCCGGGAUGAUAAUGACGGUACCGGGUGAAUAAGCACCGGCUAACUCCGUG